rnacentral:ncRNA from 1 species
UUUGACUCAACACGGAUAACUCACCCGAUCAACACAUUGAAAAGAUCAUUAGAUCGAGAGCUCUUCUUUAAACCAAUGCUUGCUGCUGCAUCGCCGUUCCUAGUUGGAGGAGUGACUUGUUUAGUCAAUGCCAAUAAUGAACGAGACACUGCAAUAUUAAGUAGUGAAUAUCUGGGAAAACUAACAGUUAUUUCUUCAAAUACGAUGGCCAGGUUGUUAGACAGUGAACACGCUAAUGGUACAACAGCAUCCAGUUUGGGUUGACAAUAAGUGUCUGCUCUCGUUUUGCUAUUUGUUUGCUUCAUACAAAUCGUUUAUACAGUCUUCCUCAUAUUUCUAAUAUAUAGAAGAUUAUGGCGGAACAAACCAGCAACAUCAUAAAUAGAUAAGA